rnacentral:rRNA from 1 species
AUUCCAGCUCCAAUAGCGAAUACUAAUUCUGCUGCAGUUAAAAAGCUCGUAGUUGGAUUUGUGGUGUACUUCGGCGGCCCGUCACUGUGUGAUAGAGCUUGCUGAAGUCGCCAUCCUUGGGUGGAUCUUGUGUGGCAUUAAGUUGUCGUGCAGGGGAUGCCCAUCGUUUACUGUGAAAAAAUUAGAGUGUUCAAAGCAGGCUUAUGCCGUUGAAUAUAUUAGCAUGGAAUAAUAAGAUAGGACCUUGGUACUAUUUGUUGGUUUGCGCACCAAGGUAAUGAUUAAUAGGGACAGUUGGGGGUAUUCGUAUUUCAUUGUCAGAGGUGAAAUUCUUGGAUUUUUGAAAGACGAACUACUGCGAAAGCAUUUACCAAGGAUGUUUUCAUUA